rnacentral:lncRNA from 1 species
GCUGCAAGUCGACCAUCCUUCUUCUCCACUUAAAGACUAUUUUCGCUAUCAUUUUUUUUAUCUCUUCUCCAUGCCUCCACCAAAUCCUUGCUGACCAUCCUAUCCUUUGUUCCGUCAUCAAUCCGCUUUCAAAAGAAGUUGCAGCUUCGCAUCAAGAAGAACACUGAUCCAAAAAUUUUUGUCAGUAGGAAGAUGAAUAUCUCCACCAUGCACGGCUAAUUCUCUUCUUCUCGAAAAAAGGACAUACAUUGUAACAGAUUUAUUUCAAUGUCUUAUUUUUUGUAUUCCUUUUAUUUUACAUCAAUGAAUGAUUUUUUUUUUAAAUAUGCAAAAUUGUUUCUUUAUAUUUUAAAGUUAGAUUUGGUUAAUUGAAAUAGUUUAUACUCUUUAAAGAUACGUCGUGAUCCAAAGAUACAAUAUGUACCAAGAGAGG